UUCAAAGUGAAUGUGAGGUUGAGCUGUAGGCCUUGUGUACAUCCUACUUCACAAAUGAGUCUGUCAGAUAUGCUAAGCCUCUCGGCCAAAGAUGAUGCCCCAAUGUGCAGAGAAACCUCAUGAUUUUCCAGACUUAUUUUGAUUAUUUGUCUUUUUGCUAUUGAGCUAUAAGAUUUUGUUCCUCAUAAUAGAUGUAAGUAUCACAUUGGUUGAGAAAGCAGUUGCCUGACUCUUAAUAUUCUCUGUGCUAAAAGAAAGAUUUAAGAAGGAAUUUUGGCAUGUUCCCAAGUAUAAGAACUUAAAAUCUCAAUGAACUGGUAUACUCCUGAAAUGCUUAAAGUUUACCAUGUAUUAUGUAUCAUUUUUAUGAUCUCCACAACACUGGCCUCCUUUUAAAUGAUCUGUUAAACCAACACAUUGCCAUCAACAUGACUAAACCAAUGUGUAAACCAUAAAACUACAUGUGGACUGGUUCCCUCUGACUACAUCAUAGUACAAGAAACCUCUCAGGCCCCGGGGCACAUUCUGUGCCACUCACCCCCGCACCUCUGCGCAGCCAUUGCAGCCCCAGAGACUGGGCAGCAGCCUCCUCCCCUGCCCCUUGCCAACCAUUCUCUGCCACACCAAGGACCACUGGAGCCAUACAUCCCUCCUACACCUCCUUCGCUGAUUUCGAAGAAGAGAAACCACUGGAGCCACAGGCUCUACCUGCACCAAUCAGAAAAAGAGUGACUUGGAGCUCCAUCUGUAUGGAUUAAAGGAAGAAAUGGGUAGGCAGCUGUGUAAGAACACAUUCAACAACAUAAAGAGCAAAAUGGCACCACCAGAACCUAGUGAUCCUGUAGUGGGUAGCUUUUGGAGCCAUGAACUGAACAUCCAUCUCUAGUUAUGUAACAGGUAACUGUUACACUUGCCUAUGAUUUUGAGGGACAAAACCCU